CGUUUUCUGAUAACUUGUUCAUUAUCAUGAGAAUGAUAUUUUCUCUCCCUCUUGCUCUUUCACAAUUGACUCUCAGAUUCCCGCGGGAAUGUCUGGUUGUUGCCUUUCUCUACUCUUCUUCCUCAGGGAACUAAUUCUAUCGAGAAAACCGUUGUAGUCGGUGAUGAGAAGAGGGGCUCUACAAUACCGACGCCGAGCAUGGCAUGAUCGAGACUUCGCUUGCGGUGUCUGCAGAUCCGAUAACGUUUUCUGAUUUUAUUAUGUUUUUGCUGUCCUUGUUUGAUACCAGCAGUUCCUAAUAUGGAUUCGUAAUUAGGUUAGACCUAUGGUUAGUUUUGCUCCAUCUUCCUCUCUCACAAUUGCCUCUCCGAUUCCCCUCGGGAAUGUCUGAUUGUUGCCUCGCUACUAUUCUUCCUCAGCGAAGUAAAUCUCUUGAGAAAACCGUUGUAGUCGGUGAUGAGGAGAAGAGGCGCUCUACAAUACCGGCGCCGAGCAUGGCAUGAUCGAGACAUAGCAUGCGGCAUCCGCAGAUCCGAUAACGUUUUCUGAUUUUAUUGUGUUUUUCCUGUUCUUGUUUGGUGCUGGUAGUUCCUAAUAAGGAUUCGUAAUUUGGUUAGACCGAUGCGAAGUAAUUCUCUCGAGAAAACCGUUAUAGUCGGCGAUAAGAAGAAGAGGCUACAAUACCGGCGUCGAGCAUGGCAUGAUCGAGACAUCGCUUGCGGUAUCUGCAGAUCUGGUAACGUUUUCUGAUUUUAUUGUGUUUUUCCUGUUCUUGUUUUGUGCCGGUAGUUCCUAAUAUAGAUUCGUAAUUAGGUUAGACCUAUGGUUAGUUUUGCUCCUCCAUUGUUUCAACAUGUUUCCUGUAUUUGCAUAUGUUAUGCAAUUUAAAUAUGCAUCUUAUUCUCUUGGUUUUGCACGUCAAAGUGUUUACGAACUUGGCUAUUUAGUUAAUGAUCUUGAACUACUCACUGGAUUCACUUGUUAAUUUUUUUAAAUACAUGCAUACAAAACUCUUGGUUUUCUGCCAAUUUUGUGUUUAUUCAUUGCCUCUUUUUAUUUCAUGUUUUCCUUUAACUAAAUUUUCUUUCAGUUAUGAAAUUUGGAUGAAUUUUGUUGUUCAGAAUCUGUGUGUAGUUGAAAGAUCUUGCCUAUUGGUUGUCCAAUUAGCGGUUGGAAUCUGUUGAUGUGACUUUUUGAAGUUGCGUUACUUAUUGCCUCAAAAUUUUAACAAGCCAUUGAUAUGUUUUCUUGGAUUCAGUAUUGGAAUUUCUUAUGUGUUAUCUUUCACUGAUCAGGCCAUGCAUUGUGCAAUUCACAUAUUUUUCCUUGUUCUUCAUGUGCCCUUUUAAUGCAAAAUGCAUUCCAGUUCUUUCUUUUGUCUUUGGGUUUCAUAUCGUGUGUAUGAUAUGAUAAUAUUGAAUUCCAGUCUCUGACUGUGAUUUUCACUCUAAUUUCGGUGGUCUUUGAUUCUUGUAAAUGUGUGGUGUGUGGUUUGCUAUUGGUUAUACUUAGAUUUUUUAACCUUUUCCUAGCUUUUUCUGUUGGUUUGAUUUAUAUCCAAGUAACUUGAAUUAUUUUUUCAAGCAAUGUUGUGAAACCGUUUAUGUUUUGAUUAUUGCUUACAUUUGGUUUAUAGGAAUUUAUGUUGUCAUUUCUUUUGUGACAGUCUCUUUGCAUUACCUUUGUCUUUGGUUUGAGUCUUUGAGAAUAGGAGGCCUUCUGCAAGUGGCUGAGGUUAGGUUUUAACUUAAAGUAUCAGUCAUAAUAAAUAAUUCUAUGACUGAUUUUUGAGUUAAAAUUGAACUUCUAGUUUUCCUGUCUCAUUUUUGUGAUGCUUUAGAUGAGUGCAUAUCGGUACUUAGAAUUCAAGCAGAAAGUAGAAGGAAAGUCUGAGGGAUUACUAUGACCUUAAAAGUUCAGUUUUAUUUUUUCCUUCUCUUUUUUUGAUGCUUCUUGAUGAGUGUAUAUAGCAGGAGUACUUAGAAUCGAAGCGGAUAGUGGAAGCAAAGUUUGAGGUAUUACCUUGACCUUCUUAAAAAAAUUAACUAUUAGUGACUGGGAGUUUUGUAUUAUUAUCAUAGCUUGAUGCUUUAUUUUGAUCUACUGAGUAUUUUCUGUGAAGAACCCUGGCCCAGUAGUUGCUGUAAUUAUGCUCCAGGAAGUUUUUGUAAAUUAUGAUAGUUAUUGUGCAAAGUGAUGUCAAGUUCUCUCCAUGUAUAGUGAUGGUAUACUUUUGGAAUAAUUUUGAGGACUAGGAGGACGCAAAAUAAUUUUCUGCAAGUUUUCAUAUAAUGUUACAUAAAAUUUUUCGGAAAAUUAGCUUAAAUUUUCAUGGAUACAUGUAACCACUGGAAUAAUUUUUAUAUGAACUUUCUUGCAGACUUUUUUCCCAGAAAAGCUAA